CUACCCAGGCAGACGUUGAGGCCCAGCUCUCCCUGCCCAGCACUCCCAGGCUCAUCAUGCUUGGAUAAAUCCGGAACACAGCAAGUGUGCGGCAAAGACGCAGGUGAGCCGAAGGACGGGAAAGACGGUCCAGAGGAAGAACGAGUCCCUCAACCCACACGUCGCUUCCUUCAUAAGGGACUUCAUCAAUUAUGAUUGGAAGAACUGAUACCAGGAAGAAGACUUACACCCACGCGAACAAGUGAGAGACCAGCCCACUACCCUGAUGUGUAUGCACAAGAAAUGCUGGCUAUGAUCAGAGCUACCUGAACAGGCAUGUUUUUCUUUUUUUAAAAAAUCUUUUUCUUACUUAUUUGGCUCUUUUUUACUUGUCUCUUUUGGUUUUAAACAAAGAUUAU